UGAUUUUUAUACUGGUUUGGCCAAUAAUGCCUACAUCUAGUGUCCUUCCAACCUAGGAAGCAAAUGCACUAUAAUGGUUGCGGUUUUUACAACAAGGAAUUUAUAGAAGCACCACGCAAAAAUAUAAAUCUUCUCUCUAAACCAAAACCAAAUAUAGUUGCACACACAAUCAGAAUUGCAGCAAGAAUCCCCUCUUUUGCAAUCUGCACCCACGUCGAACAAUCCUCAACGUGUCACCAACACUCUUCACAAGAUGUCAAGCCUAUCACAACAGACUUCACAGGUUGCCAAGCCUUCAAUCAAACGUAGCAGUCUUCACAGGAUGCCAAGCCUUCAAUCAAACGUAGCAGUCUUCACAGGAUGCCAAGCCUUCAAUCNAACGUAGCAGUCUUCACAGGAUGCCAAGCCUUCAANAUCAAACAGAAGCACCUUCUUUGUGCAAAUAUUCAUCAAAUAGUGUGAGCAAUUGACUCCUCCCUUUGAAUUUCUCUCAAGCAAGAUCACCACCGUCUUCUUAGAGAAUUCUUGGAGCUUAUAAAGAAUUCAAUCUGAAACAGGAAAAUGAAAAUGUCAGAUCACAAAAGUCAUAGAACAAUUAGCAUCCUGUCUAUUUAUAGUUUUCUGUUAUAUCAUAUUGCUUCUCAGUCAAAUAGCC
rnacentral:lncRNA from 1 species